AGGAGGCCACCCUGGGCUUGCUCUGUUUUCAUUAGCUUAAGGAGACAACACAGAUCUUCUAGGAAAAAUAGAAGCAAGCAGGUGCGGUUCCAGCCUUCCCCGAGGCGGAGAAGGGCUCUGGGUUGCCAAGAACAGCGUUUCGCGCUCCAACCAGCAACCUUGGGCUACUUAAGACUGUCUCUCAGCCCCUCCUUCUGCUUCUGCUCUGAGCCGCCGGGAAGACUCAACUUCCCAAGAAGCUGGGCAGGGGUGGGAGAGCCUGAGUGUGGCUCGCUGCUCUCCCCCGGCCCCCAUCGCUCUCUGCAUAGGCGCUCAGUUUAGCAGGACUAACCGGCUGGCACAGCAAAGGCAACGACAACUUGCUCAGCUGGACUUUGGAGCUGGGUGCAAGCUCCCUGCUCUGAGCACACAGAGGAAAGUCACCGGGCGCCCCCUCCUCCCCGCCCUCUUCCCCACGGCCGGCCCUCUGCCCCGGGUUAAAAAAGGAGAAGUGAAAGGUAUGCAAA
ensembl:antisense Gm28172 predicted gene 28172